UUAUUUUUUAUUCACGCAUCAUAGGUAAAUUAACUAGGGAAUUACUUUUUUCAACUUUUACAUGGGAAUGUUUGCCAGGAAAAAAGAUGAUUUUGUUGCAGGAGGGAGCGCGAUCUGGAUACACUGUGAUCCUUAGAAGAGAAGGCUUUUUUUCUGGCAGAAUUUUGAAAUCUGUCUGCCUCAACUUGCAGAGUGAAACAGCGUCCAGGAUCAGGGAGCUUGUGCGCAGGGAUAUUUCUGCUGUUGCCUGUUUUUUUUAACAUCAUCCAUGGAUCGCUGAUUUUUGAACCUCUGAUCCCUCUUCCAAAGUUAGACACUUCUGGCCGAGCUCGUAAGCAAACAUUCCAAGACCAAACAUUCAAAGCUGGACAAGGGAUACAAAUGCUUCUUUGAAGAGUAUAUUUUUAACUAUGAAGGAUAUGUCUGCUUGUGAGUCACUUGCAAAAUGGCUGUACCUCUAGAUCACCUUGCAGACGGAUAAGAAGCCCACCAUUCUAAAGAGCUUCAUCUGUUCCUGUGCUGCUGGCAAUGCUUUCUGUAACCAUUGGGCUACUCUGCUUUUUCAAACCGCACACUAAGAUGAAGAGUGUACCACCUGCUGUGGGUUGUACGGGUUCUCAUCAAAUGUGGCACAGACCCAGAUCACAGGACCCCUUCCAGAUCAUCAUGUGUUAUCUGAGGGAUCUAUCCUCAGCAGUGUCAGACUACAACCCUAGAUUUCAAAAAUUCUUCAUGGAUUGGCUGGAAGUAUUAUGGUGUAAUCCAAAUUUAGUCCAGUUCCUCAUGGUUCUGUACUAGUACUGCUGACAAUACCAGGCAUCCAGAUGCACCAUUGUUUCCACACCUCCCAUUAAUUGGAUAUAGUUUCAACAAUUAUUUAAAUUUUGUCCCAGAUUGCCAGCAGUUCUAUCAUUUUGAAUGUAUAAAGUUAACUCACGAAUUAUCAUUAAUAAUUGAGAAGACUACUCGAUACAUGUUCAGGGAGAAUCCUCUAGCCAAUCUGCAGCUAGGAUUAUUAAGGGAACUCGACAGACAAGUACAAUGAAAAGGGGGCUUGAACUUGAGCCAGAAGUGUUACAGGAGUAUGCAGACAUGUGAAAUGUGAAUGUCCUGCCUUGUGGUUUGAUAGCGCACCCAGAUGCUGCACAUCAUGGGGCCAGCCCUGACGGUAAAGUGUACGAUCCUACUGUAUACCCUCCCUUUGUCUGAGAGUGUUUCGAACACAACAUACAUCAAGAUUGUCGAUGGUCAGGCAACAAGUACUACUUGCAAGUUCAAAGACAGCUGGCUGUUACUGGCCUUGUAUGGUGUGACAGUGGCGGUGUUUACAUGCAAAUUUUAAUCGCGCUACUAUAGUGCAUUCAUGACGUGUCACGUGCAAAUGACGCAUGAUUGUGCUCGUUCCAAAAGUGCACGGCAAAAAAAGUGUGUGACUUAAGUGUCAUUACGCUUUGGUAAAGCACGGUAAAGUGCGCGCUAAUUAGCCUAAUUAGUCCCAUAGCAACAAACUCCACAGUCGUGCAAAAUACUUAACGAUAGACUUUCAUGAAAUAACACGAUACCUCCUCCACUUCCCCUAAGUAAAAGAACGCUCUUCUCUGUGAACGAUCUUUCCACCCUGUCCUCCUCUAUAGCAUAAGAUUUUCCUUAUCCCAAUCUUACUAAUACAGAUCAGUUAAAUAUCCAUCCAUCCAUUAUUAUCAAUCCGCUUCUCCUGGUGAGGAGCGGCUAAAUUAUAUAUAAAUUGUAUAUAGAGAUGUUGAUUUAUACCAAUACAAUGAUGUCAGCAGUUUAUAACAUUAUGUAUUAAUUUCAGUGUAUUAUGAACGAUGCAUGAGAACUACUAGAUCAUUAUGACCACAAUAAUAAUAAUACUACGAAUAAUGAGAACUACUAGAUCAUUAUGACCAGCAUUAUUAUCAUAAUAAUAAUACUACGAAUAAUGUAGCUUUUUUUCCCGCAGGAUGUUUCAAGCUUCCACCCCUUCUGACAGCAGCAACACCAGCUCCGCUGGACGGAUGAGGAAACUCGUUCCUCCUCCACAUUAUUGCGGACCUGGGGGUCAUGGAUGAACUGGAUCGACCUCGCCAAAGAAAUGCCACCUUUCACUAGUAUUACCGGUGCUCUGGCUGAACUUGUUAUAAAUAGAACGCUACUGCAGGUACGAGAUAAAUUCAAGAAACUGAAAUAUCUGUACCUGCAGGAUAGAAAACGCCUGCAGUCCUGCGUUCAAAGCUCGAGGUCCCAAUUUCGGUCCUGUGAAAUACCAGCCGCAUCAAUACAAUAUGGUAAUUGCGCCAGCCAUCAUUUAUUUUUCUAAACUAAAAUAUGCUACCGCGGUAAAGUUAGCUUGACGUUUGAUAUUCGUUUGAUAUUCGACUCAAGCUAACCCGACAUGAAUGAAAAUGGCUGUAUCUCGCCAACCACAGAAGCUAGAGUGCUCAAACCAACUUUAAUUUAAAGGAGACCAAUUGUUUCACAGCUUCUGUUUUACAUGUGAAUCCUAAUAAUAAUUUCUGGAAAAUAAUAACAUACCGCACAUACGCACACUUAGCCUCAGCCAUGCGUAAAAAGGGCUUUAUCUCCCCAACCACAGUAGCUAGAGCGUCCAAACCAACUUUAAUGUGAAGAAGACCAGUUGUGAAUUGUUUCACAGCUUCUGUUUUACAUGUGAAUCCUAAUAAUAAUUUGUGACAAACCAAAUGGUUGGGGAUAUCAAGCGAUUUUACGUAUGUCAGGCUAAGUGUGUGCGCAUAUGCGAUAUGUUUUGUUUUACACAUAUUAUUCUUAGGAUUCACAUGUAAAACAAAAGCUGUGAAGCCAUUCACAACUGGUCUUCUUUAAAUUAAAGUUGGUUUGAACGCUGUAGCUGCUGUAGCUGCUGAUCCAGGAGCAUCGUCUGAUGCGCCUGGAGUUCAGAAGGAUGUACUGUCUGAUUGCAGGCACCGCUGCCAGGCAGGAUCGGCAAUACAGCCACCUUUUGGAAAGGCUGGACCACGCUGAUCAACAGCACCAAGAAGUGGUUGCGUUGCACGCCGAAUUUCGGCACACAAUAAGAAGAGAACUGCAGGUGCCUACCCCAGCUCCCGCUGAGGUGGGCACCCGUUCUGCUGUGCGCAGUCUCUGCCUAGCGUGUAAAGCCUCAUGUAAACCCCUGUGCAUUAUUUGAACGACAUCCUUUAUCGCGCAGCAUCUCUUUUCAGCGCGUUUGGUGAUAUUUAAAUAAACCCUCACGUUAUUUUAUUAUUAAUGAGGUCGUUUGCAUUUGGACGACUAAAUUUUCUCUCUAAAAUAAACUCUCAUGUAAACGUGGAAGCAGAACUGUCAUGACCAAAAAAGCGCGAGAGAUCUGUUGUCACGCUUUUCAGUUUUUGCUUGUAAACUGCCCCUUUGUCACGGACACCAGAAGUGACCUGACUGUAGACCGUGUUGUUAGAGAUGAUGCCCAGAGUCAUGUAAUGAAGGAUAAGCUUGAUGUAUCUUACUACAACACAUACUUAGAUGCCUACCUUAAAACAGCUCAGUCUGGUUUAAAAGCCACACUGAUAGUUAUAAUGUAGUGUAAUCAUGUGUAAUGUAAAAGUAAUUUCAUCUAAUUGUUUGCAUUUCCCAUUUGUAAAAUAAGCCAUGAUAAAGUAAUGGGAUUUUAAAAAAAUUAUAAUAUUAGUAAUAAAAAAAACUUUUAAAAUGUCAUGCUUUGUAAAGGGUGUAUUGAUCAAUUAAGCAUUACAUGUACGUGUUGAUUUUUUAUUUUUAUUUAUCAGACAUUUGACCUCUGAAUAAAAUGUAGCAGAAACUCAUUGUAAUUAAUAUAACCCUACACUAAGAUAGUAACAAGAAUAGGAUUGGGGAGUGUAAACAGGGAAAUGCCUAUUCAUGACUGAUAAACAUGCUGAUGGAAUACACAGUGUAUUGUUAUACAAUAUAGGCAAAUCAGCUUUGACAAUUAGAAAUGUAUGAGACUAGAAUAACAAUAAAAGUUACUUUGUUUUAUUUAUACAAAAAAAAAUCUAUGUUCUUCAACACUGUUGUUUCAUGUGGGCUUGUCCCCUUUCAAAUCUAGUGGUCCUCAGUAGUUUACCAUUAAACAACAGUUUGCCCAAAUCUGGUUGAUGCUGCCUGCUAGAGACAGUGGAACUGCAGAAUCCCAGCUGUGGUGCUCUCACUCUCCUUAUGGCUCUCUCAACCACGAUCUUUAGAUGAGCAAUGAGUUGGGUUAGUUCAGUUUCUUCCGUGCUGAACUGAACUUUAUUGGUCUAAAUGAUGGAAUUAUUAAUUUUGCUCUGACAUCAGCCAGCAUCUUCUCAAUGAGAAAGCCUUUAUCUGUCAUGCAUUCAUCUCCAGGUUCCAAAAGACCCAUAAUACCAGAAAGCCUUGUUAUUUCUUUCUAAGAGUUUUGAGAUGAAUGGGAUUGCUCCGCAUGGGACAAUGGCAUUCAGUCAAUUGAAAGUAGAGAAAGCCUCUGACUGUAAUGCAAGUGAUGAUGGGUUCUCACAUCUGACCUCUGUGCAGUGCAGAAUGACUCUCAGAUUUGGACACUAUUGUCUAAACGUCUCCGGCAUCGUUCUCUUCACUUGUUCUUUUGACAUCCACAUAGGCACUGAACCUAAGUCUAAGUGCAGGUAG